CGGUUCAACUGCAAAAUGGUUUAAAAUCUCCUCGCUCACCCACGUUUUUGCCGAUAGAGUUUCCGAAAACACGGCCUUCAGUAUACACAACAUCUUCCUCGUUCGCUAGCGAUUAAAAUCCCCCAAUUUUCAGUUUCAGAGAGCAGCGAAACCAUGGGAGGAGGUGAACAUGGAGAAGCCCAUGGUGACUUUAGGGCUAAGGUUUGGAGCAUGAGCGGAGGACCUUAUUGCCGGCCCAAGCAUUGGAAACGCAAUACCGCCAUUGCCAUGGCUGGCAUCGUUCUCGUCUGCAUUCCUGUUGCUAUGAAAUCUGCAGAGCUUGAGCAACGGCCGCACAAUCCUGUUCGGCCAAUUCCCUCACAGCUCUGGUGCAAGAAUUUUGGAAACAAGGAGUACUAAAUCUGUCGUCUGAAAAUUGAGUACAGAAAAUGUGAGUCAAGAACUGCGUUGUUGAUUUUGCAGUUCAAAAGGAGACUAAUUUUUCAGCAAGUGUUAUAUUUUUCCAGUUAACGUCACUCUUGUAAUAGGUUAUCGCCUUCUACUAAAAAUUGUUAGUGACCAAAAUAAGCUGGUGUUCGUUUUGUACGUGUCUCCAUAAGGAGCAGAAGGAAGAAAUUGUGUGUAGUUUGGAUGGUUCAAAUUUAAUAUCAUCUUCAUUUUUCAUUGA